rnacentral:rRNA from 1 species
GACGAACGCUGGCGGCGUGCUUAACACAUGCAAGUCGAACGGAAAGGCCCUGCUCUUGUGCGGUUCUCGAGUGGCGAACGCGUGAGUGUAACGUGUGUAACCUGUCCUUUACAUUGGGGUAACUUCUGGGAACAGGGGCGAAUACCGGAUAUGAGCUCCUGCUACAUGGUGUUGGUUGGAAAGUGUCGGCGGUUGGGGAUGGACGCGCGGUCUAUCAGCUUGUUGGUGAGGUAGUGGCUUACCAAGGCUUUGACGGGUAGCCGGCCUGAGAGCGUGACAGGGCACAUUGUGACUGAGAUACGGGCAAGAGUCAUACGGGAGGCAGCAGUGGGAAUUAGUGCACAAUGGGCGGAGGGCUUAUGCAGGAACGUCGCGUGCUAGAAGACGGCCUGCGGGGUGUAACCCGCGUUCGCCUGUGACGAAGAGUGAGUGACGGUAACGAGUAAAGAAGCAACGGCUAACUACGUG